rnacentral:rRNA from 1 species
AGAGUUUGAUCCUGGCUCAGGAUGAACGCUGGCGGCGUGCCUAAUACAUGCAAGUCGAGCGAACGGACGAGAAGCUUGCUUCUCUGAUGUUAGCGGCGGACGGGUGAGUAACACGUGGAUAACCUACCUAUAAGACUGGGAUAACUUCGGGAAACCGGAGCUAAUACCGGAUAAUAUUUUGAACCGCAUGGUUCAAAAGUGAAAGACGGUCUUGCUGUCACUUAUAGAUGGAUCCGCGCUGCAUUAGCUAGUUGGUAAGGUAACGGCUUACCAAGGCAACGAUGCAUAGCCGACCUGAGAGGGUGAUCGGCCACACUGGAACUGAGACACGGUCCAGACUCCUACGGGAGGCAGCAGUAGGGAAUCUUCCGCAAUGGGCGAAAGCCUGACGGAGCAACGCCGCGUGAGUGAUGAAGGUCUUCGGAUCGUAAAACUCUGUUAUUAGGGAAGAACAUAUGUGUAAGUAACUGUGCACAUCUUGACGGUACCUAAUCAGAAAGCCACGGCUAACUACGUGCCAGCAGCCGCGGUAAUACGUAGGUGGCAAGCGUUAUCCGGAAUUAUUGGGCGUAAAGCGCGCGUAGGCGGUUUUUUAAGUCUGAUGUGAAAGCCCACGGCUCAACCGUGGAGGGUCAUUGGAAACUGGAAAACUUGAGUGCAGAAGAGGAAAGUGGAAUUCCAUGUGUAGCGGUGAAAUGCGCAGAGAUAUGGAGGAACACCAGUGGCGAAGGCGACUUUCUGGUCUGUAACUGACGCUGAUGUGCGAAAGCGUGGGGAUCAAACAGGAUUAGAUACCCUGGUAGUCCACGCCGUAAACGAUGAGUGCUAAGUGUUAGGGGGUUUCCGCCCCUUAGUGCUGCAGCUAACGCAUUAAGCACUCCGCCUGGGGAGUACGACCGCAAGGUUGAAACUCAAAGGAAUUGACGGGGACCCGCACAAGCGGUGGAGCAUGUGGUUUAAUUCGAAGCAACGCGAAGAACCUUACCAAAUCUUGACAUCCUUUGACAACUCUAGAGAUAGAGCUUUCCCCUUCGGGGGACAAAGUGACAGGUGGUGCAUGGUUGUCGUCAGCUCGUGUCGUGAGAUGUUGGGUUAAGUCCCGCAACGAGCGCAACCCUUAAGCUUAGUUGCCAUCAUUAAGUUGGGCACUCUAAGUUGACUGCCGGUGACAAACCGGAGGAAGGUGGGGAUGACGUCAAAUCAUCAUGCCCCUUAUGAUUUGGGCUACACACGUGCUACAAUGGA